rnacentral:rRNA from 1 species
CCAAUAGCGUAUAUUAAAGUUGUUGCAGUUAAAAAGCUCGUAGUUGAAUUUCGGGAUCAAUAUGCUGGUCGUGCCAUUGGUAUGUACUAGUAUUAUUGGUUUCUCCCUUCUGAUGAAUCAUGAUGUCAUUAAUUUGAUGUCAUGGGGAAUCAGGACUGUUACUUUGAAAAAAUUAGAGUGUUUAAAGCAGGCUCGCGCUUGAAUACAUUAGCAUGGAAUAAUGAAAUAGGACGUUUGAUUCUAUUUUGUUGGUUUCUAGGAUUGACGUAAUGAUUAAUGGGGAUAGUUGGGGGCAUUAGUAUUCAAUUGUCAGAGGUGAAAUUCUUGGAUUUAUUGAAGACUAACUACUGCGAAAGCAUUUGCCAAGGAUGUUUUCAUUAAUCAAGAACGAAAGUUAGGGGAUCGAAGACGAUCAGAUACCGUCGUAGUCUUAACCAUAAACUAUGCCGACUAGGGAUCGGAUGAUGUUAAUUUUUUAAUGACUCAUUCGGCGCCUUACG